rnacentral:rRNA from 1 species
AUUGAACGCUGGCGGCAUGCCUUACACAUGCAAGUCGAACGGCAGCACGGGAGCAAUCCUGGUGGCGAGUGGCGAACGGGUGAGUAAUAUAUCGGAACGUGCCCAGUCGUGGGGGAUAACGCAGCGAAAGCUGUGCUAAUACCGCAUACGAUCUACGGAUGAAAGCGGGGGAUCGCAAGACCUCGCGCGAUUGGAGCGGCCGAUAUCAGAUUAGCUAGUUGGUGGGGUAAAGGUUCACCAAGGCGACGAUCUGUAGCUGGUCUGAGAGGACGACCAGCCACACUGGAACUGAGACACGGUCCAGACUCCUACGGGAGGCAGCAGUGGGGAAUUUUGGACAAUGGGCGAAAGCCUGAUCCAGCAAUGCCGCGUGCAGGAUGAAGGCCUUCGGGUUGUAAACUGCUUUUGUACGGAACGAAACGGUGAGCUCUAAUAAAGUUUGCUAAUGACGGUACCGUAAGAAUAAGCACCGGCUAACUACGUGCCAGCCGCCGCAGUAA